GACGAACGCUGGCGGCGUGCCUAAUACAUGCCAGUCGAACGCUUCUUUCCUCCCGAGUGCUUGCACUCAAUUGGAAAGAGGAGUGGCGGACGGGUGAGUAACACGUGGGUAACCUACCCAUCAGAGGGGGAUAACACUUGGAAACAGGUGCUAAUACCGCAUAACAGUUUAUGCCGCAUGGCAUAAGAGUGAAAGGCGCUUUCGGGUGUCGCUGAUGGAUGGACCCGCGGUGCAUUAGCUAGUUGGUGAGGUAACGGCUCACCAAGGCCACGAUGCAUAGCCGACCUGAGAGGGUGAUCGGCCACACUGGGACUGAGACACGGCCCAGACUCCUACGGGAGGCAGCAGUAGGGAAUCUUCGGCAAUGGGCGAAAGUCUGACCGAGCAACACCGCGUGAGUGAAGAAGGUUUUCGGAUCGUAAAACUCUGUUGUUAGGGAAGAACAAGGACGUUAGUAACUGAACGUCCCCUGACGGUAUCUAACCAGAAAGCCACGGCUAACUACGUG
rnacentral:rRNA from 1 species